ACUGGUGAGUAACGCGUGAGGAACCUGCCUUUCAGAGGGGGACAACAGUUGGAAACGACUGCUAAUACCGCAUGAUGCAUUUGGGCGACAUCGCCUGAAUGUCAAAGAUUUAUCGCUGAAAGAUGGCCUCGCGUCUGAUUAGAUAGUUGGUGAGGUAACGGCCCACCAAGUCGACGAUCAGUAGCCGGACUGAGAGGUUGACCGGCCACAUUGGGACUGAGAUACGGCCCAGACUCCUACGGGAGGCAGCAGUGGGGAAUAUUGGGCAAUGGACGCAAGUCUGACCCAGCAACGCCGCGUGAAGGAAGAAGGCUUUCGGGUUGUAAACUUCUUUUAAGGGGGAAGAGUAGAAGACGGUACCCCUUGAAUAAGCCACGGCUAACUACGUGCCAGCAGCCGCGGUAAUACGUAGGUGGCAAGCGUUGUCCGGAUUUACUGGGUGUAAAGGGCGUGUAGCCGGGAAGGUAAGUCAGAUGUGAAAUCUGGGGGCUCAACCUCCAAACUGCAUUUGAAACUACUUUUCUUGAGUACAGUAGAGGUGGGCGGAAUUCGUGGUGUAGCGGCGAAAUGCUUAGAUAUCACGAAGAACUCCGAUUGCGAAGGCAGCUCACUGGACUGUUGACUGACACUGAGGCUCGAAAGUGUGGGUAUCAAACAGGAUUAGAUACCCUGGUAGUCCACACAGUAAACGAUGAAUACUCGCUGUUUGCGAUAUACAGCAAGCGGCCAAGCGAAAGCAUUAAGUAUUCCACCUGGGGAGUACGCCGGCAACGGUGAAACUCAAAUGAAUUGACGG
rnacentral:rRNA from 1 species